rnacentral:sRNA from 1 species
AAUUCAUAUUCCGAACUGUCACCUGACGAUGGCGUGGCUGGGACAACCAGUCUAGGAAAUGAGAUUGGA